rnacentral:rRNA from 1 species
AGAGUUUGAUCAUGGCUCAGAACGAACGUUGGCGGCGUGGAUUAGGCAUGCAAGUCGAACGAGAACCCUUGGGCAACUGAGGGGGAAAGUGGCGAAAGGGGCAGUAAGGUAUGGGUAACCUACCUCGGGGACUGGGAUAGCCUUCCUAACGGAUGGGUAAUACCAGGCGAUCUGGCGAGGACGCAUGUUCUUGCCAGGAAAUGAAUUUCGCCUCGAGAGGGGCUCAUAUAGUAUUAGCUUGUUGGUGAGGUAACGGCUCACCAAGGCGAAGAUGCUUAGCGGGUGUGAGAGCACGACCCGCGCCACUGGCACUGAGACACUGGCCAGACUCCUACGGGAGGCUGCAGUCGAGGAUCUUCGGCAAUGGGCGCAAGCCUGACCGAGCGACGCCGCGUGUGCGAUGAAGGCCUUCGGGUUGUAAAGCACUGUCGAGGGGGAGGAAAGCCGCAAGGUCUGACCUAUCCCUGGAGGAAGCACGGGCUAAGUUCGUGCCAGCAGCCGCGGUAAGACGAACCGUGCGAACGUUGUUCGGAAUCACUGGGCUUAAAGGGUGUGUAGGCGGUUGAUCUAGUCUGGGGUGAAAUCUUUCGGCUUAACCGGAAAAGUGCCUUGGAUACUGGUCAGCUGGAGGGAGGUAGGGGCAGUUGGAACUUCCAGUGGAGCGGUGAAAUGCGUUGAUAUUGGAAGGAACGCCGGUGGCGAAAGCGAGCUGCUGGACCUCUUCUGACGCUGAAACACGAAAGCUAGGGGAGCAAACGGGAUUAGAUACCCCCGUAGUCC